CAAAAGGACUGCGGAGCUAAGCUGCUCUGAAACCAGAAGACCCCCCGCAGUCUGUGGGGAACCCCUGAACACCAAGGGGGGCCCUGUCUGCUAAAACACUGGGAGCUAUUGAUCCAAUGGGUUUACUGUCCUGUUUGUAUUAACAGUGUGUUUAUUUUACCAGUCAAACCUGCAGAGACUGAUACUGUGUACUCAGCUGUGAAAAUAAGUGCAGGCAAGCCCACUGCAGAUAAUGCAGAGGUCAUGUAUGCCACAGUCCUCCCAAAGAAGAAAAGGAAGUAAAUGAAGGGGGUCCCCAGGAGUGAGAGCCAGCCUGAAUCCAGAGACACUGAGAAGGGGAGCGUGUCAAACUGAAGGAGACAGACCCAUUCUUUCAGAAUGACCUGGAGAGCCCUGGGAUUCAGCUCCACUCCUGCCCCUGAAUUGGAAAUGAAUCUCACUCAUCAUGCUGUGAGGAUUUAGGACAGUUACAGGGUCAUUCUACUUAGAAGGGACACAUUGGAAAUAUAUACCAAGCUUUUUCACUGAACACUUGUAUGUGUGAUAUGAACCCACCACAUUAAACAAAGCUGUCAAUAACAUAUAUGAUAUUUUUAAAUGUAAUUUGAGCUGUAAAUGUAUUGCUGUGCCAGUGUCAGUGAGUACAGUAUAUGAUAAAGAAAUUAAUUGUUUAAAAUAGUUUGAGUUCCUGUACGUUUUCCAGUAUCUCUGUAUAUAAAGGGUGUGUGAGAAAUUCCUAGUUGUAAUUGAAUGUUCUUUGUAAAAUGACAUUUCAAAUCUUAAACUGAGACUUCAGAUGCUGGGAUGUUAAUUAAGUUUGUUUUCCCCCUUCCUUUCUCUUUAACAUUCUCUAGAUCUACUUCAAAGGACUAGAUAUUAGUAACAGAUAUCUAUAUUCAUACAGAUUCUAUAUCUUUUUUAUUGUAUUAUAUAUAGUACAAUAAAAAAAACCA